rnacentral:tRNA from 1 species
GAGGGUAUAGCUCAGUGGGAGACCGUGUGCUUAGUAUGCAGGAGGUCCUGGGUUCAAGCCCCAGUACCUCCA